UUGGUGGAAAGCAAAAGUACUCUUACUUGACCACAAAUACUUUACAAGGCAAGGAACUUUAGAGAAGGAUGACAGCAGAAACUAUUAGAAGAUUAAUGAGGAUCCCCAUGGCCUGUUCUUUUAUGGAUUGCCAGGAAAUCUUUCAUCAACGAUAUUUACUGCGCAAGUAAAUCUACAGCGAAAAAAUAUGAAGGGUCUCCUAUUAGUCUGCUUUAAGGCUACGUUACACAGAAAAAAAUGUUUAAGCAACUAAGAGGGAAAGAGAAAGAAGGAGAAUGGAUUUCAAGAGCAUAGUCAUCAAAUGUCAGAUCCCGGGUUAGUGUUUUCAAAGGCCUGUGUUAUUCUGGGGAAAUUUAAAGUGUUCCCCAAAACAUAUAGGCACCAGUGCUGUCAAACCUGUGGUAUAUAACAGUGACAUGCAGAAAAGACACAUCUGGCUCCUGAAAAGUUUAAUCAACUUCAACUACAAGCCAUACUUGAAAGAAAAAUGACAAGCCAGAUUCACCAACCUUGAGGUAGUAGAAUGUAGUCAAUCAUUUGGGAAACGUAAAAAAGAAAGAAAAAAGAGUAAAAUUUGUGAAAAAGAUUGAACAUGUGAAACAUGAAAGGAAUGAGGGGAAAAUUCCUAUAAAAUAGAAAAGAUAAAGUCAUCUUUUCACUUGAGAAUUUUUUUCAGCAUUAAAAUGUACUUUAAAGUUACCUUUAAACAUGAAGAAUUGAUGGAAACCUCAAUUCAACACUCAUCACUAUAGAGUACAUUAUGGAAGAAGCAAGUAUAUUUGUACAGCACCUGGAGGAAGUUAUUCAGCAAAAUAUGAAUUAUAUAAAUUGUUAAUAUCUUCAUUACUGUUGACUUUAGUUAUUACUAUUUUUAGUUUGAAUUUAUUUGUUUUAGGUACAAAGUUACCAUGAAAGCUUGUUAAAAUCUUAUUUACCCCGAGAA